UACGUAGGGGGCGAGCGUUGUCCAGAGUUACUGGGCGUAAAGCGCGUGUAGGUGGUUUGAAAAGUCAGGUGUGAAAUCUUUCAGCUCAACUGGGAAAUUGCGCUUGAAACUUUCAGACUGGAGUCUUGGAGGGGUAACCGGAAUUCCUGGUGUAACGGUGAAAUGUGUAGAUAUCAGGAGGAACACCUGUGGCGAAGGCGGGUUGCUGGACAAUGACUGACACUGAGACGCGAAAGCGUGGGUAGCAAAC
rnacentral:rRNA from 1 species